AUUCAACUGACGAAUUUCAAAUAAGACGAAACGCGUGUCGUGGAU
rnacentral:hammerhead_ribozyme from 1 species